AUUGAACGCUGGCGGAAUGCUUUACACAUGCAAGUCGAACGGCAGCACGGACUUCGGUCUGGUGGCGAGUGGCGAACGGGUGAGUAAUACAUCGGAACGUGCCCAAUCGUGGGGGAUAACGUAGCGAAAGUUACGCUAAUACCGCAUACGAUCUAAGGAUGAAAGCGGGGGAUCGCAAGACCUCGCGCGAAUGGAGCGGCCGAUGGCAGAUUAGGUAGUUGGUAGGGUAAAGGCCUACCAAGCCGACGAUCUGUAGCUGGUCUGAGAGGAUGAACAGCCACACUGGGACUGAGACACGGCCCAGACUCCUACGGGAGGCAGCAGUGGGGAAUUUUGGACAAUGGACGCAAGUCUGAUCCAGCCAUUCCGCGUGCAGGAUGAAGGCCCUCGGGUUGUAAACUUCUUUUGUACAGAACGAAAAGGCUCUGGUUAAUACCUGGGGCUCAUGACGGUACUGUAAGAAUAAGCACCGGCUAACUACGUGCCAGCCGCCGCCGUAACAC
rnacentral:rRNA from 1 species